rnacentral:rRNA from 1 species
UCGUCAGCUCGUGCCGUGAGGUGUUGGGUUAAGUCCCGCAACGAGCGCAACCCCUGCCCCGUGUUGCCAGCAGGUAAAGCUGGGGACUAAGCGGGGGACUGCCGCGGAGAACGCGGAGGAAGGCGGGGAUGACGUCAAGUCAUCAUGCCCCUUAUGUCCUGGGCUACACACGUACUACAAUGGGAUGGACAGAGGGAAGCGAAGGAGCGAUCCGGAGCGGACCCCAGAAAGCAUCCCCCAGUUCGGAUUGCAGGCUGCAACCCGCCUGCAUGAAGUCGGAAUCGCUAGUAAUCGCAGGUCAGCAUACUGCGGUGAAUACGUUCCCGGGCCUUGUACACACCGCCCGUCACACCACGGAAGCCGUUCACGCCCGAAGCCGGGGUCAAACCUGUCGAAGGCAGGGGCGGUGACUGGGGUGAAGUCGUAACAAGGUAACCGUA